GUAGGGAAUAUUGGGCAAUGGAGGCAACUCUGACCCAGCCAUGCCGCGUGCAGGAAGACGGUCCUCUGGAUUGUAAACUGCUUUUGAAUGGGAAGAACAUACGGUUUGCGAACCGUACUGACGGUGCUAUUAGAAUAAGCACCGGCUAACUCCGUGCCAGCAGCCGCGGUAAUACGGAGGGUGCAAGCGUUAUCCGGAUUUAUUGGGUUUAAAGGGUGCGUAGGCGGCCUUAUAAGUCGGUGGUUAAAGGUAGCAGCUUAACUGUUUUACAUGCCAUCGAUACUGUAGGGCUUGAGUGAUUUGGAGGUAGCUAGAAUUCCCUGUGUAGCGGUGAAAUGCAUAGAUACGGGGAGGAAUACCGAUUGCGAAGGCAUGUUACUACGAAUUAACUGACGCUGAGGCACGAAAGCGUGGGGAUCAAACAGGAUUAGAAACCCUUGUAGUCC
rnacentral:rRNA from 1 species